CCUACGGGAGGCAGCAGUGGGGAAUAUUGGACAAUGGGCGAAAGCCUGAUCCAGCCAUGCCGCGUGUGUGAAGAAGGCCUUCGGGUUGUAAAGCACUUUCAGUGGGGAAGAAAGCCUUGGGGCUAAUACCCUCGAGGAAGGACAUCACCCACAGAAGAAGCACCGGCUAACUCCGUGCCAGCAGCCGCGGUAAUACGGAGGGUGCGAGCGUUAAUCGGAAUUACUGGGCGUAAAGCGCGCGUAGGCGGUCUGAUAAGCCGGUUGUGAAAGCCCCGGGCUCAACCUGGGAACGGCAUCCGGAACUGUCAGGCUAGAGUGCAGGAGAGGAAGGUAGAAUUCCCGGUGUAGCGGUGAAAUGCGUAGAGAUCGGGAGGAAUACCAGUGGCGAAGGCGGCCUUCUGGACUGACACUGACGCUGAGGUGCGAAAGCGUGGGUAGCAAACAGGAUUAGAUACGGUAGUC
rnacentral:rRNA from 1 species